rnacentral:rRNA from 1 species
ACGCGGGGAAUCUUACCGGGUCCGGACACACUGAGGAUUGACAGGCAAAUCUAAUAGAAUCUGCUCUUAUUUCUAAUAAGUAUAGAUUUCUAUUUGUUAUAAAGAUGCUAGUCCUUUCAUGAUUAUGUGAUAGGUGGUGCAUGGCCGUUCUUAGUUCGUGGAGUGAUCUGUCUGCUUAAUUGCGUUUCACUAAGGUCCCAGUAAUCUAAGGUAUGCUCGUCUACUUAUCUCAUAUGACGCUGAUAGACCCCUCGUAAGAGCGCGUUGUCUAUUGCGUUAAUAUAUGUAACAAGUGACACAUACUGUUGGGAUCUGAAAGCAACGAACGUGACCGCAACGUCUUGUUGCCUUUCUAAUUUAAUCUAAUUCUUUUGUAAUUAGUUUAAUAACAAAGGCUAUUCUUUAAACUAGACGGACCGCUGUUUCUCUUUUAAACCAGAGGAAGGUUGCGGCAAUAACAGGUCUGUGAUGCCCUUAGAUGUUCCGGGCUGCACACGUGCUACAAUGAUCAGUACAGUGAGCAUCUCAAUUUAUUACUAACACCGCUUUAUUAAAGCAUUCAGUGUGUAGUUGUGUAAGCAGCUGCCUCUGAUAUGCGCGGUAACACCUGUCUCGAGAGUCGAUGGGUAAUCCAUUAGAAGUAAUGAUUCCUCUCUUUUAUAUAGCACACUGAUAUACAGCAUCGGUUCCCGAGGUAACCUUGUGUUACUUAUGUGCGAGCGUGAUGUCAGAGCUUAACGUUUAUUAUUCUUUAUG